GUGCUCGCUUCGGCAGCACAUAUACUAAAAUUGGAACGAUACACGAAGAUUAGCAUGGCCCCUGCGCAAGAAUGGAAACCAUUGAACUUCCUAACACCUACAAUCUUGUU